rnacentral:rRNA from 1 species
GACGAACGCUGGCGGCGUGCUUAACACAUGCAAGUCGAGCGGUAAGGCCCUUUCGGGGGUACACGAGCGGCGAACGGGUGAGUAACACGUGGGUGACCUGCCCUCAGCUCUGGGAUAAGCCUGGGAAACCGGGUCUAAUACUGGAUAUGACUCCAUGACGCAUGUUGUGGGGUGGAAAGCCUUGUGCGGCUGAGGAUGGGCCCGCGGCCUAUCAGCUUGUUGGUGGGGUGANGGCCUACCAAGGCGACGACGGGUAGCCGGCCUGAGAGGGCGACCGGCCACACUGGGACUGAGACACGGCCCAGACUCCUACGGGAGGCAGCAGUGGGGAAUCUUGCGCAAUGGGCGAAAGCCUGACGCAGCGACGCCGCGUGAGGGAUGACGGCUGGU